CUAGGAAGUACUUAGUACGAAGGCCAGAUAAUUUUCUUCUUUGGUGGUUUUUUCUUUUAACAGUUGAGUCGAUUUUCUCAACCAUUCUUCGACGAAUCUCGAUCCCGAGAAGGGAAGCAGAAUCCCGCCGGAGACAACAACUCCAGACAGGAGGUGGAAGCGGAAGCGACUUCACCUUAUUCCGAUUUUGAAGCAGACGAGCCCUGAAUUGUCAAUCCCGCUUCAAGAGCCUUAGCGUCCAGUAGUAAAAACCCAAGAUCGAGCCCUAUAACUUCUGACUGAUGCGGCAAGUGCUGCCUUGAGGUGAACAAUUCAGUGAAGAAAGACAACAGCUAAGCCAACAGUGCGCUUUCCCGGAGGGACUUUGUUAAUGGUGAAUUACGUGUGGAACCAACCAGGAGUCUGUUGUAGCAUAUGAUUGGAGGCUAAGAAAGGAAGUUUGAGACGACAAGAACAAUGGAGGAAAGACAAGCCGAUACAAAAAUCAAGGGCUUUUUUAAGCACCACCGCUACUGCAAAAAUAAUGAACUUCCAAAUGAUUAAUAAAGUGGGGAAAGUAUGGUCCUGUGGGCGAAAAAUGGCUCGGGAGCCGAAAAGGUAACGUGGAAAAUCGAAAAUGGUUAUCAAUGAGUCCGAGGAUGUGGAACUGGCGAAUGGCUGUAUGGAUAAGGCUAUCAUAGUUUCCCACGAAUGUGGAGGAGAUGGCGGUGAGGAUUGGGACACAGUUGUUUGAAAGGGAUUGACUGGUGGCGGGAGCUGAAAUAUCCAGGAAAUGGACGUUACCGAAAGAAGCUCGAGCUGAUUUAUGCCGGGACAAAGCUGGUGGUGGGCGUCUGCAACUGCAAGUCAUCGGAUCUCUCCAAAAUGCAUAUAUCCAGGAAAUCAAGCACAUUGAAAGGUGGGAAAUAUGAUGAAGGUGUUGAGUCUGUUGACCAUGAGGAGUACGACUAAGAUGAAGAUUGUAGAUGUGUUAUUUCAUUUGUAUUUUGUGAUCAGUGCAGUUUUUUUGGGUUGACCUACUUGUUUUUUGAUAUAAAUAUCAUUCAUUUUCAAAGUUAUACACUUUUAUUCACUGUGGAAGAUGACCCUGAUGAUAUUCUAGUCCUGAUAAUGGGGCAACAAGCAGGCACAGGUGAAUGAAGCUUUUGUGAACAUUCAUUCUGUGGCCUAUCACCAAUGCGUAGUUGGCACAGUUAUAAAUUAAUGCUUGCCUCCUUGUUUUACACUUGUUACCCUUAUUUUGGUUUU